rnacentral:tRNA from 1 species
CAGGACCAGUGGGCCUCGAUCCCACAAAUUCUCAGUUAACAGCUGAAAGCCCAAACCAGAAGGCAUUAAUCCA